UGAGCUGGUAUAAAAAGAAUGAAGAUAAUUCCCUGAUUCUAGUAUACAAACUAAACAAUUCUACAGACAACUUAAGAAAUAAUUUAAAAGGGAAAAUUGAUACUUUAAAAAGUCGAUUUGUACUUGAUAUUCAAAAAACAGCAAUAGAAGAUGCCGGGACUUACUACUGUGGGUCAGAUAUUGUGCUCCUGGGACACCCGACAGAUGUUUUUUGGAACUGGCACCAAACUCUUCGUGGAACCCAGAAUUCAGCCUCCUACCAAACCAUCCGUUUUCAUCAUGAGAAAUGGAACAAAUGUUGCUUGUCUGGUGAAGGAUUUCUAUCCCAAGAAUGUAAAUAUAAGUCUCAAACCAUCCAAGAAGAUAGAAGAAUUUGACCCUGCUGUAGUCGUCUCCCCGAGUGGGAAGUACAGUGCUGUCAAGCUUGGUCGGUAUGAAGAUCCGAAUUCAGUGACAUGUUCAGUUCAACACAACAAUGAAACAGUGCACUCCACCGAUUUCGAACUGAAGACAGAUUCAGUUGAUAAUCAAAAAGCAGAGGGGUCUAAAAACAUUAACCAAACUUCAGAGAGCUGCCAUGAACCAAAAGCCACAGUGCACGCCGAGAAGGUGAACAUGAUGUCCCUCACAGUGCUGGGACUGCGAAUGCUGUUUGCUAAGAGCGUUGCCAUCAAUUUCCUCUUGACUGCCAAGUUAUUUUUCGCUUAAGGCUGACUGGCACGAGGAAGCUGCCCUCCCUGAAAGAAACCAAAUGCUUUCGAAGAUGCUGUCUCCUAGGCUUCGGCCUUAUUUAAAUGGCUGCCAACCAAACCAAUUUCCUGUUAAAGGCAACAACUCCACGUCGUUCUUAGCCUGGUAGAAAACAAACGUCCUGGGGAAUGGGAGUUUAUGGCCCUAACUAUUUUACAUGCUGCUUUAUAAAGUGACAGGACAUAAAAACAAAAAAUAGGACCUAUUUUAUUUUACUCCUAUACCUGAUACACUUUGAAAAUGAUAUUUCACUCCUUUUUUAUUUUCUUUACCUCCAGAAACAGAAAGUAGGAACCAAUAGGUCAACAGCUCCAUUCUCCAUGAGGAAAAUAGGCCCUGGGAGGAGGGCCUACAUGGCCCUCCAUAUAAAGCAGUGUCCCUUUACCUACAUGGGGAAGGCUCUGCUCAACCCAGCACUAAGUUUAUCCCAAACCUGCAUCCUCAUCCUCCUUUCCUGUGUUUUACCCCACCCUCUGUAUUCACUCCAGCAGUCACACUAGAGACUUUACAUGGUAGUGAGGAGUUGGGGGUCAAUUUCAGCACUUUUGUUUCUCCUGGUACUUUACAAAUGAAAUUACAUUUGAUGUCCCUAAUACUCUCCAAACAGGCAAUGGGGUUUUAAACUCUCACCUAAAUACUCCCUAUUCUAUUAGCAAAAAUCAGAAUAAAAUACAAAGGCAAGGCACUUCUUUCUGUUAACUAAUUUAGCAUACACGAACUGACACUCUCUAAGUCCCAGUCACUGAACUGAGAGAAGAUGAAUAAAAUAUAGGCCCUGCUUUCAAGCAACUCAUUAUGCAAGUGUGUUUGGAGGGAGGGAUAGAAGUGAGACUUCUAUCUUUCCCUGUAAAAAUAAUAUAUGUAUUGUCUCCUGCCUGCCAAUCUGUGCCCAGGGAGCUUGAGAUCGUUGAACACUGAUUGUUUUGUCUGGCCUUUAACGUUGAUGGUUUUCUGCCUUUCUUCUCAGCCCCUGUCUCAGUUGCACUUAUUAAACUGCCUCGUGUGCCA